UACGGAGGAUGCAAGCGUUAUCCGGAAUGAUUGGGCGUAAAGCGUCCGCAGGUGGCUGUGUAAGUCUGCUGUUAAAGAGUGAGGCUCAACCUCAUAAAGGCAGUGGAAACUACAUGGCUAGAGUGCGUUCGGGGCAGAGGGAAUUCCUGGUGUAGCGGUGAAAUGCGUAGAGAUCCGGAAGAACACCGGUGGCGAAGGCGGCCCGCUGGGCAGUGGCUGACGCUGAGGCGCGACAGCGUGGGGAGCAAACAGG
rnacentral:rRNA from 1 species